GAAACACACAAAGCACUCAAAUCAACAUUUAAAUUCAGCUUUAGUACACCCUCUCUUAUUAUACUCUAGCUUCUCUAGGCCUAUCUCAACUCUUUUCAUCCGUACACUCAUCAUCAUGCAUUCACACAUGCAAAUCAGCCAGCUCUCAAGUUCAUUAAGCAUAGCAUCACGUGAAUUCUUGCAAAUGGUCAAUGGGUCCAAAUCAUUUGGGUAAGGGGAGGCUUUUUAAUC
rnacentral:lncRNA from 1 species